CGGCAUAAUUGAUAGUUUCAAAGUUUUGCCAGUUCUAUGCCCCUUUUUUUGGAUGUGUGCGAGGAAUGAGGGGAGGGUAUGGAGCUUUGCCAGAUUUUCAGUUCUACACUUUCUGGAGUAAAAAAGUCAUUUCAUUUUGGAAGUUUAAGACUUUGUCUCUGUAACUAGCAGAUAAUCAUUGAAAGAAGAUGCAGUAUUGUUGGUCCCAUUGAAAGCAGAAAAUUCAUUGGCAAGUCAAAAAGUAAUUCUAGAAAACUAGCAGAAUUUUUUUUUGACCCGUAAUAUCAAUGAGUUCCUCAAAAAUCAGAAGAUCUGUCAUAGCUGUUAUAAAUUAUAAAAUAAGAACUAUAAUUUCAAUGGUACUAAGGGACCCAACUGACCUGUACCUCUCGUGUUGCAGAAG
rnacentral:misc_RNA from 1 species